UUUCCUACGGGAGGCAGCAGUAGGGAAUUUUCGUCAAUGGGCGCAAGCCUGAACGAGCAAUGCCGCGUGAACGAGGAAGGUCUUCGGAUCGUAAAGUUCUGUUGAAGGGGAAAAAGAGCGGAGAGAGGAAAUGAACUCCGAUUGAUAUUACCCUUCGAGGAAGUCACGGCUAACUACGUGCCAGCAGCCGCGGUAAUACGGAGGAUGCGAGCGUUAUCCGGAUUUAUUGGGUUUAAAGGGUGCGCAGGCGGCGAGUUAAGUCAGCGGUAAAAUUUCGGGGCUCAACCCCGACAAGCCGUUGAAAC
rnacentral:rRNA from 1 species